CCACAACACGUUGAAAAAGCGGUUCCCUUACGAUCACCGAAGUUAAGCCACCUCGAGCCUGGGCAGUACCUAGAUGGGUGACCAAUUGGGAAUACCAAGUGCUGU